rnacentral:misc_RNA from 1 species
UCAAACUUGGUCAUUUAGAGGAAGUAAAAGUCGUAACAAGGUUUCCGUAGGUGAACCUGCGGAAGGAUCAUUAUUGAUUGUGAAUUGUUGCUUUCUGUGCUGGCUCCCUGCAAGUGCACGUUGGUGACUUUCAUCCACACCCUGUGAACCUUGGCCUCUUGCUGGCUUUGGCUAGCAGAGGAUUUGACACACAAACUCAGAUGUAAUGAAAAACCCCUUUGUGCAGAAGCACUAAUGUACAACUUUCAACAACGGAUCUCUUGGCUCUCGCAUCGAUGAAGAACGCAGC